rnacentral:tRNA from 1 species
CGGGGCAUGGCGCAGCCUGGUAGCGCAUCUGCUUUGGGAGCAGAGGGUCGGGAGUUCGAAUCUCUCUGCCCCGA